UACAGAGGUGGCUAGCGUUGUUCGGAAUUACUGGGCGUAAAGGGCGCGUAGGCGGCCCUUCAAGUCCCGCGUGAAAUCCCCCGGCUUAACCGGGGAACUGCGCGGGAAACUGUAGGGCUUGAGUUUGGGAGAGGGAAGCGGAAUUCCGGGUGUAGCGGUGAAAUGCGUAGAUAUCCGGAGGAACACCGGUGGCGAAGGCGGCUUCCUGGACCAACACUGACGCUGAGGCGCGAAAGCUAGGGGAGCAAACGGG
rnacentral:rRNA from 1 species